CUCAUGUGAUGAUUAUCUAUAUUUGCUACUUCGGACGGGGCGUCAAAACUUCGAAUGAGACAUACUUUUAUCACCAAGAUCUCUGAUGAG
rnacentral:snoRNA from 1 species